rnacentral:rRNA from 1 species
GACGCUGUGGAACGAGCGGCGGACGGGUGAGUAACACGUGGGCAACCUGCCUGUAAGACUGGGAUAACCCCGGGAAACCGGGGCUAAUACCGGAUAAUACUUUUCAUCACCUGAUGGGAAGUUGAAAGGUGGCUUUUAGCUACCACUUACAGAUGGGCCCGCGGCGCAUUAGCUAGUUGGUGAGGUAACGGCUCACCAAGGCAACGAUGCGUAGCCGACCUGAGAGGGUGAUCGGCCACACUGGGACUGAGACACGGCCCAGACUCCUACGGGAGGCAGCAGUAGGGAAUCUUCCGCAAUGGACGAAAGUCUGACGGAGCAACGCCGCGUGAGUGAUGAAGGUUUUCGGAUCGUAAAGCUCUGUUGUUAGGGAAGAACAAGUGCCGUUCGAAUAGGGCGGCACCUUGACGGUACCUAACCAGAAAGCCCCGGCUAACUACGUGCCAGCAGCCGCGGUAAUACGUAGGGGGCAAGCGUUGUCCGGAAUUAUUGGGCGUAAAGCGCGCGCAGGCGGUCCUUUAAGUCUGAUGUGAAAGCCCACGGCUCAACCGUGGAGGGUCAUUGGAAACUGGAGGACUUGAGUACAGAAGAGGAGAGUGGAAUUCCACGUGUAGCGGUGAAAUGCGUAGAGAUGUGGAGGAACACCAGUGGCGAAGGCGACUCUCUGGUCUGUAACUGACGCUGAGGCGCGAAAGCGUGGGGAGCGAACAGGAUUAGAUACCCUGGUAGUCCACGCCGUAAACGAUGAUCUAGGUGUUAGGGGGUUUCCGCCCCUUAGUGCUGAAGUUAACGCAUUAAGC